UACGGGAGGCAGCAGUGAGGAAUAUUGGUCAAUGGACGCAAGUCUGAACCAGCCACGUCGCGUGAAGGAAGACGGCCCUACGGGUUGUAAACUUCUUUUAUACGGGAAUAAAGUGCCCCACGUGUGGGGUUUUGCAUGUACCGUAUGAAUAAGGAUCGGCUAACUCCGUGCCAGCAGCCGCGGUAAUACGGAGGAUGCGAGCGUUAUCCGGAUUUAUUGGGUUUAAAGGGUGCGUAGGCGGAGAUUUAAGUCAGCGGUGAAAGUUUGAGGCUCAACCUUAAAAUUGCCGUUGAAACUGGGUUUCUUGAGUGUAUUUGAAGUAGGCGGAAUUCGUUGUGUAGCGGUGAAAUGCUUAGAUAUUACACAGAACCCCGAUUGCGAAGGCAGCUUACUAAACUACAACUGACGCUGAAGCACGAAAGCGUGGGUAUCAAACAGGAUUAGAUACCCUGGUAGUCCACGCAGUAAACGAUGAAUACUAACUGUUUGCGAUAUACAGUAAGCGGUACAGCGAAAGCGUUAAGUAUUCCACCUGGGGAGUACGUUCGCAAGAAUGAAACUCAAAGGAAUUGACGG
rnacentral:rRNA from 1 species